GUUGGCAUAGCACAAUUGGCAGUGCGCCUGACUUGUAAUCAGGGGAUAGCGGUUCGAAUCCGUUUGCCGGCUCCA
rnacentral:tRNA from 1 species